rnacentral:rRNA from 1 species
CGGAAUGGAUAAGCGCUGAAAGCAUCUAAGCGCGAAGCCAACUUCAAGAUAAGAUUUCCCACCGCAAGGGUAAGACCCCAGAAAGACUAUCUGAUUGAUAGGUCGAAGGUGUAAGUGCAGCAAUGUAUUUAGCUUAUCGAUACUAAUAGGUCGAGGACUUGACCAAUAUUUAUU